rnacentral:tRNA from 1 species
ACCUGGCUGACUCAGUAGGUAGAGUACGGGGCUCUUAAUCUCAGGGUCAUGAGUUCAAGCCCCAUGCUGGGUG